rnacentral:rRNA from 1 species
UUAUAAAAAUUUAAAAUUAUUUACUAAAAAAUUAAUAGUUAUUUUCUUUAAAUUUAAAAAAUUUGGCGGUAUUUUAGUCUUAUUAGAGGAACCUGUUUUCUAAUUGAUAAUCCACGAUUAAUUUUACUUAUUUUUGAAAUUCAUAUUUCGCUGUCAUGAAUAUAUUUAAAAAUUUAAUUUCUUUUAUUAUUUUAAUUAUGAUAUGGUAAGUCAAGAUGUGGUUUAUAAAUAAGAAAAUAAUGGGUUACAUUAAAUUUUAUUUUUGGAUUUAUAAUGAAAAUUAAUAAUAAAAUUGGAUUUAAUAGUAAAAUUAAUUAUUUAAUAAUAUG